UACAGAGGUCUCAAGCGUUGUUCGGAUUCAUUGGGCGUAAAGGGUGCGUAGGCGGCGCGGUAAGUCGGGUGUGAAAUCUCGGAGCUUAACUCCGAAACUGCAUUCGAUACUGCCGUGCUUGAGGACUGGAGAGGAGACUGGAAUUUACGGUGUAGCGGUGAAAUGCGUAGAUAUCGUAAGGAAGACCAGUGGCGAAGGCGGGUCUCUGGACAGGUCCUGACGCUGAGGCACGAAGGUCAGGGGAGCAAGCGGG
rnacentral:rRNA from 1 species